rnacentral:rRNA from 1 species
ACUGCUCAGUAACACGUGGACAACCUGCCCUUAGGUUGGGUAUAAAACCCGGGAAACUGGGUAUAAUACCCGAUAGGUCUCGAUUGCUGGAAUGCAUCGAGAUUUAAAGCUCCGGCGCCUAAGGAUGGGUCUGCGGCCUAUCAGGUAGUAGUGGGUGUAGCGUACCUACUAGCCUACGACGGGUACGGGUUGUGAGAGCAAGAGCCCGGAGAUGGAUUCUGAGACACGAAUCCAGGCCCUACGGGGUGCAGCAGGCGCGAAAACUUUACAAUGCUGGCAACAGCGAUAAGGGAACCUCGAGUGCCAGGUUACAAAUCUGGCUGUCGAGAUGCCUAAAAAGCAUUUCAUAGCAAGGGCCGGGCAAGACCGGUGCCAGCCGCCGCGGUAACACCGGCGGCUCGAGUGGUAACCGUUAUUAUUGGGUCUAAAGGGUCUGUAGCCGGCCGGAUAAGUCUCUUGAGAAAUCUGGCAGCUUAACUGUCAGGCUUUCAGGAGAUACUGUCUGGCUCGAGGCCGGGAGAGGUGAGAGGUACUUCAGGGGUAGGGGUGAAAUCUUGUAAUCCUUGAAGGACCACCAGUGGCGAAGGCGUCUCACCAGAACGGACCUGACGGCAAGGGACGAAAGCUAGGGGCACGAACCGGAUUAGAUACCCGGGUAGUCCUAGCCGUAAACGAUACUCGCUAGGUGUCGGCCACGGUGCGACCGUUGUCGGUGCCGUAGGGAAGCCGUGAAGCGAGCCACCUGGGAAGUACGGCCGCAAGGCUGAAACUUAAAGGAAUUGGCGGGGGAGCAC